AGGGAGGCAUGGCAGAGGACGAGGUCUGCAGUCACGCAUUUGGCCGCUCUGGGUUUAAUGAAAUUGGCAGGAUUCUGUCGUAAACACACAAACAAAUUACAAGGCCUGAUGGAGUCUGAAUGCUAUCGUAUGUUGGCAAUACUGGAGGUAUGAUGUCAGACAAUGACCAGACUCAUUUCCAGACUCCCUCCCGCAGUCCCCCUCACUACUAACAGGACCACACAAACAAGGUCAUUCAGACUGCUGUAAGAGGAAGAUGUAUCAUUUACUGAGAGAUGGAUGACAUGAUGUCUCCGCAAAAAGCUUUUAUUUUGACCAGAAGUAUUACUGCAACCCUCCAGCUCUCUUUUCCCCUCCCCUCUAAUUGAACAAGGAGGCAAAAGACAACUGCCACUUGAGCUGCAAAGGAAAUUGCCUCUUCAGUAUGGCGGAAAAUACACAAACCAUUGUUGAAAAAUUGGUGUACUCAUUCAACAACCUGGCCUAAGAUGGCUUAGACAGACUGAGCAAACUGGAGAUAGGCAUCCUUGAUAGCCUAUCUUGCCAAUGGUGCAAAGGGCAAUAAACCUCCCCCAUUACUUCCCAUAAAGUUCCUAUUUGGCACUAAUAUACUUCAGGUUCCCUUUAAAAGACAGCAAUAAAGAUGAGUUUAAAAGCA